GGAGAUCAAAGACCUUUCCAGAGAUUCAGGCAGGGGCCCAAACCAAGGGCAUUUCCAGGCGGGCACUGGGACCAGCCCCAGGGACACGCCAACGCACUGCUGGGGCCAAGGGGAAAGGUUGGUUUCAAAACCACAUGUGCGGCAGCCUCACCACUGAGUCAUGCUUGUGAGGCCUGCUGGAGACCAAAGACAGGGGCUACAAGCUCAAAACCGCCUGGUUAGUGCUGACUCUAUUGAUUUCCUGGCCUUCCACUUCCAAACCUUCCUUGGAUGGCUAAACUCCUUCUGGAAGACACACCUGUUUUUUAUAUUUGCCUGGUAUACCUCACUUCUUUGAGUGACAGCACCCCAGAGAUCCCCUUCUCCACUCUCACUCUUUGUAGUUAAGGUGAGGUUGGAUUCUCUCCUCUCUGCACCCCUCAACCCCCCUACCCCCAGCACUAAGGACCCAGGCUCAGCCAAUCAGAAUAUCUCUCAUGCCCAUCAUGGGCUCUAGGAUGGGAGCAUGAUGGAAGAGUGGCCAUUGAGGAUCAGUUCCAAGACUUUUGUGAGAAAUGCGGGGGAAGAGACCCUCUCUUUUCCUAUAGGGAUUGCUCACUGUGCAAAUAUGCCAGCCUGGAACAGCUGGGGCCUCCAUGUGCACAGUGGAGAAUCAGAGAAUCAGGUCACCCCACAGGAAAGCAGGACCAUAAUGGGGUACUAGGCAGAGACCUAGCCUCCUGGCCAUGCACCUCUGAGCUGUGUGGACUGAUUCUUUUUUGCUUAAGCAUGCUUUUGUUUUCAUUUCAUUUAUUUAUUUAUUUUCAGACACAGUCUUGCUCUGUUGUCCAGGCUGGACUGCAGUGGUGUGAUUUCAAUCUCAGCUCACUGCAACCUCUGCCUCCCCGGUUCAAGUACUGCCAACAAGAAGGCCCAAUCAAGAUCCUCCCACAACAAGAGCAGAUUGUGAGCGUGGCAAGCUCUAUGCUGAGCACUGGAAGGACAAAGAGAGAUUGGGCACAGACUUCUCACUGAUCCAGGUGAUGAAGAGCUCACAUCUGAGAGGAUGUGACCAUGGAUGACCCACCAGAAUGUCAUGGGAUCCAGCUACAGCCAAGGAAGCACAGAGCACCGUGGGAGCGAUUUAUUGUGCUUGGGGAUGGGGAAGGGGACAUGGGAGGAGCCAUAUUGAGAAAGUAGCAUGGGUACUUGGCUUCACAGAGUGUGGCAGCUUUCAUCAGGAAGUGAUGGUGGGGGAACAGCGUCUCUGGCGGAGGGAAGCAGCAGGUGCAGAGGUGCAGAGGUGUGAGGAGUCUGUCACAUUCUGGGAAGGGAGUAUGGUUGGGUGACAAUGCAAGACAGAGAAAGCAAGGAGGGAAGGAGGGGCCUAGCCUGAGGAAUAAAGAAUAAUAAAAGCAGGA
rnacentral:lncRNA from 1 species